AUGGAGAUUCCCAUGGGGACCCAGGGCUGCUUCUCAAAGAGCCUCCUGCUCUCAGGUAAGGAGGAAAUAGACCCUAAAGGCCAAGGGGAGAAAUGGGGACUCAGCCCAGAGAUUGAAGUUUCCUCUUAGAAGUAGGGAAAGAUUACCUGAGAGGAUGAAAUUAGAAUAAGAUGGGGGAGGGGCAACAGAAUCACAGCCUCAUUGCCAUUUUAUCUAUGGAAUUUUCUAUAAUGUUAGGACCAUGAAGGCAGGAAUUUAUGUAUGUUUGGUUCCCUGCUAUAUCUCCAGUGUCUAGAAAUUGAAGGAAGUUUAGAUGUAUUACAUAUAGUUGGUAUUAUAGCUUAUAUAUUACAUAUGCCUAUAAGUAUUGGUUGAAUAAAUGAAUGAAUGAAUGAAUUCAGAGAGUCCAUGUGUUUAGAAGCAGGCCACACAGCAUCUCAAGGUAGAAAAACCUCUGGAUCAACAGGAUGGCAAAUCUGUGGUAACCAUGCCUGUGUUCCCACUCCUGCACCCAGGGCAGACAUCACUAAUCAAUCCCAGCAUUGUUUCCAAUGAGCAGCACUCAGAGUCCUUGCUCCCCGCUGAAGAUCUGUAUCUAGAGAGGAGCAUGCCAUGGUCCCUGGCAACACCCCUGAUCUCAGCCCUUCCCUGUAACUUCCCACAGCCUCAAUCCUGGUCCUCUGGAUGCUCCAAGGCUCCCAGGCAGCUCUCUACAUCCAGAAGAUUCCAGAGCAGCCUCAAAAGAACCAGGACCUUCUCCUGUCAGUCCAGGGUGUCCCAGACACCUUCCAGGACUUCAACUGGUACCUGGGGGAGGAGACGUACGGAGGCACGAGGCUAUUUACCUACAUCCCUGGGAUACAACGGCCUCAGAGGGAUGGCAGUGCCAUGGGACAGCGAGACAUCGUGGGCUUCCCCAAUGGUUCCAUGCUGCUGCGCCGCGCCCAGCCUACAGACAGUGGCACCUACCAAGUAGCCAUUACCAUCAACUCUGAAUGGACUAUGAAGGCCAAGACUGAGGUCCAGGUAGCUGAUUGAAAAAUGGAGGCACGCAGUGGUUAUGACUUGCUGAGUAAAGAAUACGAACCAGAAUGAUGUGACAUGGGAAAGGAGGUCAUCAGGGAGACCUCACUCAAGAAGUGACCUUAGAGGAGAGACCAGAAGAAGGAUGGCGACCACAGAGAAGCCAGAAUUGGGCCCUGCUCAUGAUGCUGGUGACAACAACAUCUAUGAAGUGAUGCCCUCUCCAGUCCUCCUGGUGUCCCCCAUCAGUGACACAAGGUCCAUAAACCCAGCCCGGCCCCUGCCCACACCCCCACACCUGCAGGCGGAGCCAGAGAACCACCAGUACCAGCAGGACCUGCUAAACCCCGACCCUGCCCCCUACUGCCAGCUGGUGCCAACUUCCUGAUGGGUCCUGGGCCAGGCCAGCCAGGGAGAAGACAAGGCCCCAGCCCUCCUCUGGGAGCCUCACACCUGAGACCAGCAGGACAAGGCCAUUGGGGGCUGUGGGGCCGAUGAGGUGGACUCAGCCAAAGACUCAGCAGCACAUGGGGCAGGUGUCCUGGCAGGGGGACAGGAGACUGUAACAGGCCCAGGUCCUUGUGCAGCCCGUGAAUGCACGCCCGCCUUCGGUCUGUUCCUUCAAGCAAGCUGGCCUGGGCCAUGUGCCUGUGAAAGGCAGGCUCUGGCCCCUUUCCAUGCCAAAGUCCCCCAAGAUCUGGAUAUCUGGGGACAAGAUGGUGGCCUCAGGCCUGCCUCCCAGGCAGUUGGCUGGGCUCCCAACUGUCUGUCCUCAAUGCCCUACCCCAACUCCACUAGUGACCCUCAGAGUCUUCUCCCCUUAGGACAAGGCAGACACCCCACCAUGCGGGCCUCAGGUGGCAGAGAGGCCCAGCCUCACAGGCCUGUGGCCCCACACACCAGUCCCAGCAAGGUGACCACGGCUGCUGGACCCCUUCCCUGUUCAGGCAGGCCCAGCCCCUCUCAGAACCUGCUGCCAGCUGCUGGUCUUGGCCCCCACCCUGAAUCUUACUGAGUCCCUCUGGGCAGCAGCUCCCUUCUCCACCCCACCCCAGCACCCGUCCCAAAUGUGGCCUCAGCUUGUCCUCCCCUUCCCCAAACUAUGCAUUCAUUCAGCAAUAAAUGAGCCUUUGCUGUAUGCCAGACCCAGUUCUAGGCUCUUGCAGCCCUGGUAGAAAGCAAAACAAAAACUCCCGCUUUCCCAGAGGGUCACUUGGCAGGGGAAAGAAUCAGGAAAUAAAAUAAAUAAUGAA
rnacentral:misc_RNA from 1 species